rnacentral:lncRNA from 1 species
CUUUUAUCUUAUCAAGUCUUUUGACAGAAUAUCUUGGUGUGAUUGUGAACAAGAAGGAUGAACAUGGGUCAGUGGGUCAAACCCUUUUUCAAAGGGACCUCCACUUAAAUAGUGUCUGAGGGUUUUUUGUACCAAACAUAGAUGACCACUCCUGGAAGAUUGGACCCAAGUUCUGGGGUGGAGAUGAUCCUGUCUGGCAUCCCUUCAUCUCCACUCCUCAGUGGACAGUCAACCCCACACCUAAAUAGGACAUGUGCCUGCCUUUUCCUUAGCCUGUCAUAGUGGAGCUGAUGGUGCAGGACUGAAACAACCAAGAAGGAAUGGGGUGCUGUGGUACACACCUAUAAUCCCAGCAACUCCUGAGGAUGAAGCAGGAGGAGCUCAAGUUUGAGGCCAGUCUCAAUAACUGUCUCAAAGAGAAAAAAGGGACUGGGGAUGUAGCUCAGUGGUAAAGUUGCCCUGGGUUCAAUUCCAGUACCAAUGAAAUGAAGAAGAAAGAACCCAAAAGAAGGAAGCUUGCUAUCAUUGCUAGAGGCCACAGUGAAAGCCAGAAGGUCCAGCUUCCCAUGAGUUGGACCACACCUGAACCUUCCUCUCAUGAAGUAGCUAUGCCUGCCAACUUGAGAAGAGAAUGCAUGAUACCAAAGCUGUGCUUUCACUGCUCUGCUGCCUGUGUUCUCCAGGAAGCUCACUCAGUCCAGUUGAGAGAAUGUGCCCUGCUGUAUUCAUGCCCUGGAGACUAGAGGCAAAGCCCCAGGCUGAGACAAAGUUCUUACAGAGAACUUUAUAUCAAAGACCACUUCCCAGAGCCACCCACACACAGGCAUCAUGUGGCAUUAUGCCAGUAGAGAGAGUCAGGCACAGCAUGGACCUGAGCUGUGCCCAGAGAGGAUGUUCAGUACACAGAGCCCUUCACGAUAAGCUCCGAGUCCUGUCUGCCUUCUCUGCUGAUUAUAGCAGCACUUAAGAUGUUGGAAUGCUAGAAAUGGCCUCUGUACCUCUUGGCAUGGGAACCAUUAGCUCUGUACAUCAGUCUCACCCAAUCCUAGUUCACUUGGGGAUUUAUGGACACUGUUUUUCACUGUGUAGGUUUUCCUUUCUACUCUAGCAUCUUUACUAUGGAUGCAACCCUGAUGUGAAAGGUUGAGAAGUUCCCGUUUCACUGACUAUGAACUUACUGUCCUCCCAGGAACUGAACCCUCAUGGUAGAGGACCUCUCUGAGGGUGUCCAGGCCACCUAGCACUGGGAGUGCACUUGAGCACUAGAAGAUCUCUUUUCCUGUGGCUGCAGGUGUGACUUUAAUAUUGUCUUUCUUCUUAUACUUUGUCCUACUAGGCUCAGCAAAGUAGGAACCAGAUCUCCCUCCUUUCCUAAUGGGUACGUUCCCUUAGAGGAAAGAUGCCACACCAGUUUGUCAUCUGGUGAGGGUUUUGAUGGCUUCCUUUAUAAGUCUG